GCAAUUUCAUGAUGAUAAUAACACAAAGCUGGCACUAGCUUUGGCCCGAAAUUUCAAGGGCCCUAAAUUUUCGGUAAUUAGGGUUUUUUUAAUAAUCGAUGUUUUGUACAGAUGCAAAAGAAUGAUGCCAAUGGAUGAAGAAAUUGAGGAAUCACCAACCUUCCUCUCAAUUGGAUGAACUUAUUCCGGAUCCUCUAAGUUUCCAAUCGUUAUUGUCGUAUCAGCCCAUUUGUAGAUAAUGAUGGCGAUGAGAGACGGUUUCCUGCUCUUCUCAUCUGAACUUGGAAAUCUUCGGGUAUGUUUGUGAAAGGAUGAUAUCCUGCAAAAACUAAGGCCAGAGGACAUGCGACUCGAGAUCUUUCGGACAAUUUGGUCCUUUGAAGGGCAGUUACUCGCAGGUUUAGCUGCUUGCUCUGCCACCGUUCUGAGAUUUUCGUUGGUAGGCUUCCUAAGGAUGUGGUUGAGGGAGAUUUGAGUGAAUUUUGUGAACCUUUUCGGGAAGUUGUUGAGAGAUUAGCAAGGAACAUUAAUGGAUGGACCUAUCCCUUCUACAAUAUCUCUGUUGACAAAUCUAGAGGAGGUGAUGAUAACCUAUUUCACUGGACCAAGUUCAAGCUUUCAUGUACAAGGGUGUUGCAAAAAUGUACAUAUUCUAAUCAGUUUAAGUUUACACUUUCUUUUGAUGCUUAAAUGCUGAAGUCAUGUAUUUAGAAUUACCUUGAUGAUGCAUCUUUUGGAAAUUUUGUAUGUU
rnacentral:lncRNA from 1 species